rnacentral:rRNA from 1 species
UCCAGCCAUGCCGCGUGAGUGAUGAAGGUCCUUAGGGUUGUAAAGCUCUUUCGCCUGGGAAGAUAAUGACGGUACCAGGAGAAGAAGCACCGGCUAACUACGUGCCAGCAGCCGCGGUAAUACGUAGGGUGCGAGCGUUAAUCGGAAUUACUGGGCGUAAAGCGUGCGUAGGCGGUUUCAUAAGCUUGAUGUGAAAGCCCCGGGCUUAACCUGGGAAUGGCAUUGAGGACUGUGGAGCUGGAGUGCGGCAGAGGGAGGUGGAAUUCCACGUGUAGCAGUGAAAUGCGUAGAGAUGUGGAGGAACACCGAUGGCGAAGGCAGCCUCCUGGGCCGACACUGACGCUGAUGCACGAAAGCGUGGGGAGCAAACAGGAUUAGAUACCCUGGUAGUCCACGCCCUAAACGAUGUCAACUGGUUGUUGGGGAAGGCAACUUCCUUAGUAACGAAGCUAACGCGUGAAGUUGACCGCCUGGGGAGUACGGCCGCAAGGUUA